UACGUAGGGGGGCAAGCGUUGUCCGGAUUUAUUGGGCGUAAAGAGCGUGUAGGCGGCUUGGAAGGUCAGCUGUGAAAACUCGAGGCUCAACCUCGAGACGUCGGUUGAAACCACCUGGCUAGAGUCCGGAAGAGGAGAGUGGAAUUCCUGGUGUAGCGGUGAAAUGCGCAGAUAUCAGGAAGAACACCUAUGGGCGAAGGCAGCCCCCUGGGCUGAGAUUGACGCUGAGUGCACGAAAGCGUGGGGAGCAAACAGG
rnacentral:rRNA from 1 species